AAUAUUGCGCAAUGGAGGGAAUUCUGACGCAGCGACGCCGUGUGAGCGAUUAAGGUCUUCGGUUCGUAAAGCUCUGUCCUGGGGGAAGAAGGCCUUCGGACUUGACUGUACCUAUGGAGGAAGCCCCAGCUAUCUACGUGCCAUCAUCCGACGUAAUACGUAGGGGGCAAGAGUUGUUCGGAAUUUGUGGGCGUAAAGGGUGAGUAGGCGGCCUUUUAAGUCAAGUGUGAAAGCCCACGGCUUAACCGUGGGAUUGCAUUUGAAACUGGAAGGCUUGAGUAUCGGAGAGGGUAGUGGAAUUCCCAGUGUAGCGGUGGAAUGCGUAGAUAUUGGGAGGAACACCAGUGGCGAAGGCGACUACCUGGACGAAAACUGACGCUGAGGCACGAAAGCUAGGGGAGCAAAC
rnacentral:rRNA from 1 species